rnacentral:rRNA from 1 species
AACGAACGCUGGCGGCAUGCCUAACACAUGCAAGUCGAACGAUUGCCUCGGGUGAUAGUGGCGCACGGGUGCGUAACGCGUGGGAAUCUGCCCUUAGGUUCGGAAUAACAGCUGGAAACGGCUGCUAAUACCGGAUGAUAUCGCGAGAUCAAAGAUUUAUCGCCUGAGGAUGAGCCCGCGUUGGAUUAGGUAGUUGGUGGGGUAAAGGCCUACCAAGCCGACGAUCCAUAGCUGGUCUGAGAGGAUGAUCAGCCACACUGGGACUGAGACACGGCCCAGACUCCUACGGGAGGAAGCAGUGGGGAAUAUUGGACAAUGGGCGCAAGCCUGAUCCAGCAAUGCCGCGUGAGUGAUGAAGGCCCUAGGGUUGUAAAGCUCUUUUACCCGGGAAGAUAAUGACUGUACCGGGAGAAUAAGCCCCGGCUAACUCCGUG